UCAGGGGUCUAAGUGGACAUUCCUCCCAUCCUGUGGGAGACAAUUUCAAAAUCAUAUUGAUUUCUUUCCUCCUUUUAAGAAUGCCAUUUUUAAACAUCAUCCUACUGUCAUGUUUUACCAUUAUAGUGUCUGCAGUACCAGCUCGUCCCAGUGUCCUCCCUCUUUCACAAGGAGGAGCUACCCAAGCCACAAACCAGGAACCUGAAGCUCUGAUGCCGGCUCCACUGUCCCCUAUGGUGGAGCAACCACAGCCUGGGGUCCCCCAACAGCCAAGUCCUCAGGGUGGCCCCCAGUUUCUGCCUCCCACACAAUACUACUUCUGGUCUCCACUAGGGAGCAGUCCAAUGAUGAUCCCUCUGCAGCCCAGCGUCCUUGGAUCACAGCCUGCUAACCUGCCGACUCUCCCACAGCAGCCUCAGCAGUUUUUCCCUCCUUAUCCAUACUUUCCUGUUUUCUCAUCGCCCUAUGGGAAUCAAAUGGUAAGACGUUAUUUUUUUUUUUUUUAAAUACACUGUAUGUUUUCUAAGACUUAUCUUUUCCAUACACCAAAUAACGUGCAGCACGUGC
rnacentral:lncRNA from 1 species